GAUGAACGCUAGCGGGAGGCCUAACACAUGCAAGCCGAGCGGUAUUUGUUCUUCGGAACAGAGAGAGCGGCGCACGGGUGCGGAACACGUGUGCAACCUGCCUUUAUCUGGGGGAUAGCCUUUCGAAAGGAAGAUUAAUACCCCAUAAUAUAUUGAGUGGCAUCAUUUGAUAUCGAAAACUCCGGUGGAUAGAGAUGGGCACGCGCAAGAUUAGAUAGUUGGUGAGGUAACGGCUCACCAAGUCAAUGAUCUUUAGGGGGCCUGAGAGGGUGAUCCCCCACACUGGUACUGAGACACGGACCAGACUCCUACGGGAGGCAGCAGUGAGGAAUAUUGGACAAUGGGUUAGCGCCUGAUCCAGCCAUCCCGCGUGAAGGACGACGGCCCUAUGGGUUGUAAACUUCUUUUGUAUAGGGAUAAACCUACUCUCGUGAGAGUAGCUGAAGGUACUAUACGAAUAAGCACCGGCUAACUCCGUG
rnacentral:rRNA from 1 species